CCCUCCUUUUUUAUAUUUUUGUCUGUACAAAUUGCAAAUGUUAUGUGCAGUUUGACAAAAGAGAGGACACAUUCCCUCUACUAUUUGUUAAAGAAGCUCACACUUGUAGUGUAGUCAGCAGAGCAGAAGAUGAUAGUAGCAGUAUCAAUCAGUUACACGUUGAUGAUGUGGCAUGCCAUGUCAUGCCUGGCGAUUAUGAAAUUAUGUGUACACGUGAUUAAUUAGUUGAAAUUGUUAUAUUUGCUUACUAUAUUUUGUUAAUAGCCUUAGUUAGUUAUAACAGAAAUUUAGCUGAGCUUCAGCACUUGUAUAUAAGGAGCAUUUCACCACACAUUAUGUGUGUAUUGUGAUUAAUGAAAUAGUAGAAGUUUCUCAGAUCUGUUUCUUAAUUCUUCUUCAUUUUCUCUCGUUUUCUAUGUAAUCAAACACCUUUUCAAUCUUCAACUCUAUUGAAUGCCUAGCUACAUGAAGAAACAUCAAGUAUCAGAGGAAGAGGCUGCAAAGGCGUUGUGUUUAGAAAUUGCAAAUGCGUGAAAAUUUCAUUUAAAAAUUAGAAAGUGGGCAACAAGAGUAAAAAUUAGUCUUCAUUUUUAAAUUUGAAGGUAAUAAAAUUUUCAAUGAAAUUUUCACCCACGCUCUUCAUGUAGAGAGUGUUACAUGGUAGAUGCAAAACUUUAUCAUCGCUGUUCACGACCAAUCAAUUUCAUUGAAAAUUUUGAAGUGAAAGAAUUGGUUCAAUUUUGAGCUAGAAGCAAUAGUAAAAAACCACUAUAAAAAUUGGUUCAAAUUUUGAGAUAGAAGCCAUAGCAAAAAACCACUACGAGAAUUAUGGUCAAUUGCGACCAAUAAAUUCGUCACAAGUAAUACAUAAUUUGUUGCUAAAAAAAUAUGACAAAAAAAUACUGUUGCAAGUUCAUGAAAAAUUAUUAGCGACCACUGUAUAAUUUGGUCGCAAAAUAACACUUUUAACAACGAAUAGAGUGGUCGCUAAAUAUCAUUUUGUUUAUGUUGAAGUGUGAGCUUGAAACUGAAUUUUAGAAGGUGGUGAUAUGUCGCUUUGUGGCCUCGACCAUGUAUGACUUGUCAAUCGCUGAGUCAAAUAGGAGAAUAUGACAUCCACAUAAUAACAGUCAUUUCUAGUGAGUAAAUCACACGUUCUUCACGUGAUUUCACUUACUCUAUAUUGGCAGUCGUUUUGAUCACUAAUUUGAAGGGCGAGUUAAGCAUGUGAUUGAAGGUUGUUAACUGAUAGUUACAAGGCAGGAAAAUGCUGGGUUUGUUAUAACAAACCUAGAACGCAGCUAGCAAGUGAGGGACUUUUCUAGAGUCUUCAAGAUUUGUAUAUAUAGUCUUAGAGGCUAUUCAAUUAAUUUGAAAAGCUUGUAUCUUCUUCUUGAGAUUGAUAUCUUGUUCUCUGUGAUUGAAAUAAGAUUGUUGCUCAUGUUUUUCAGUGGAUGUAAGCUAUUUCCAAACCGAUCCACUUUAAGUUGUGUUUCUAUAUUACUUGUUUCUGUCUUCAGUUCUUGCUUGUGAUUUGUUUGUUAUUUCUAAAUCGUCAAUUAGAGAGUUUAGUCAGAUCUUGGUGAUUUUUUAUUGAACUUUUAUCGGUCUAGAAUCAACAAUUUUGGUCUUAGUUAUUUAUUUUAUGACCAUUUAAUUGUCACAAUUUAUAUUUUUUGCGUACUUAUAUUGGUUGAAAAUUAUAAUUUCUUUUUUAAAAAUAAUAGUAUGUUUUGAUGU
rnacentral:lncRNA from 1 species